rnacentral:rRNA from 1 species
UACGAAGGGUGCAAGCGUUACUCGGAAUUACUGGGCGUAAAGCGUGCGUAGGCGGUUCGUUAAGUCCGUUGUGAAAGCCCUGGCUCAACCUGGGAAUUGCAGUGGAUACUGGCGAGCUAGAGUACGGUAGAGGAUGGUGGAAUUCCCGGUGUAGCGGUGAAAUGCGUAGAGAUCGGGAGGAACACCCGUGGCGAAGGCGGCCAUCUGGACCAGUACUGACGCUGAGGCACGAAAGCGUGGGGAGCAAACAGG